UUAAAUGAUUCUUACUUACCAUUUAUUAUUUUCCUUUUUUUCUUUGUUAAUCGUCUUAGUUGCACUGUGGUCUAUGUUACACUGUCCUAUAAAUGUUAGUAUUCUAUCUUAUGUGUUUUAUGUUUUGUUGAUAGGUACAUGUUUAACAUAAUUAACAGUGUAACAACAAUUCAUAACAAAAUUAAUCUGAAAGAAAAAUACUACAAGGAUUAUCAGAGAAUCUGUACAGUAACUGAACAGAAACGAUGAUCUGUUGAUGUUUUUGAAGAGGACUGUUCUCCAAAAUCAUGACUAUGUUCCACAACAAAUUGGCCCUUAUCUCUUAGUACCUAUGUUGUAAAUACUGUGAAUAUUGUAAUUCAUUUAAAUUUAAUUUUCUACUUGUCCACUUACAAAAAAUUAUUCAACUGGGGAAUUAAUUGUAUUUAUUAUUGUAGGAGGACUGUUAUUGUUCAAUGUUAUAAAUUAUAAUAUUCCUUUUAUUAUUAAAUUAUGUAAUUUAUUAA